UCUUUUUCCUUUUUUUACCCCUUUUUCUUUCCCUACUUCUCUCUGUUCCAUUUCUUCUUCCUUUCUUUUUUCCCAUUUUUUAUCCUUUCUCUUCUAACUUUCCUCCUUUUCUGCUCUCUCUCUCUCUCUCUCUCUCUCUCUCUCUCUCUCUCUCUCUCUCUCUCUCUCUCUCUCUCUCUUUGUCCUUCCUUCCUUUGAUAUGCCAAGAGAACUAAACCUUUUUAAUUUCUCUUUUUUUCUCUUUUUCCCUUUUCUUGUUUUUUCAUUUCUUUCCUUCAUUAUCUUUAUUAAUUUCUUUGCUCAUUUUUUCCUUUUCUAUUUUUUUCAUUUUUUACCUUUUUUUUAUCCCUUUUAUUUCUCUACUUCUCUCACAGUUUGGUCAUAGUACUUGAGUUCCGAUGUUUAUUAGUAUUACCACGUCUGUUUAGCAAUGUUCCGGUGAUGUCUAGUGUGUUGCGUCGUGUCAGGUGUUUCGGUAAGUCAUUCAGUAAGUUCUUCCGUCAGUGUCCCAUCAGCUGGUUUCCAUUUUCGUACUCCUCAGUAAGUCAGUAAAUCUCAGUAAGUUUCUGUCAGUCGUCCGUCAGCUGUGUUUCAACUUUUGUGUUUUCCGUAAGUUGUUCAUUAGUUAGUAAGUUCUUCCGUCUCAGUGUUCCGUCAGCUGGUUUCCAUGAUUGUGUUCCCCUGUAAGUCAUUCAUUAAGUUUGUGUUUCUGUCAGUGGUACGUCGGCUGUGUUGCCACGCGUGUGUUCUUCAGUGAGUAAGUUCUUCCGUCUCAGUGUUCCGUCAGCUGGUUUCCAUGAUUGUGUUCCUCUGUAAGUCAUUCAUUAAGUUUGUGUUUCUGUCAGUGGUACGUCGGCUGUGUUGCCACUCGUGUGUUCUUCAGUGAGUUAUUAAUUAAGUUGGUGUUUCCAUCAGUGUUUCUCCAGCUGGUUUCCAUUAUUGUGUUCCUCAGUAAGUUAGCAGUGUUUCCGUCAGUGUUUCGCCAGCUGUGUUUCCACGUCUGUGUUCCCGAUGCAGUGUUCCGUUCACAUACAUUCACAAUUACGGACAUUCCCUAACACACUACUAGGACAGUUUUAAGUUACAUUUACGCCUCCUUGUACUGGUAAAGCAGGAUCGUGUUCACCAGUCGUAUGCACCAUUACAAUAAAUAAAUAAUGGGAAAUGUAGCUAAUGUAUAAAAAUUAAACAUUGUCAUGAUAGAGUUCGGUUGUCACACAAAACGUUGACUAAUUUUUGUUUUUCUACACGAGAUUAAUUUUUCAAGUAUGUGUUUCUCUUCUUAAUGUGAGCACCAGAGUCAUGCCUAACCUAACCUAACCUAACCUAACCUAACCUAACCGGAAUAGGAGAGUUUUGCCACUUUCAUCACAUGCGCCGUUACCAAAAGAGCUGCGUGAAAUUCAUAUUGAUGGCGUAGGUAUGGCCAGGAUCUCAAACAAGUACUAGAACACAAAAAAUCGCUGUUGUAUUUACCUAGUUGUAGUUUUACAGGGCCUAGGCUUACGCUCGUGUGGUCCCGUCUCCGUAUCUGUAUUUGUCCAACUCUUCCUCAAAGUUUUGCACACUCUUCGCUGAUACUACAUCCUCACUUAGUCUGAUUGAUUGAUAGUUUAUUGUUGCAGGUAAACAACAAGGGAGAAGGGAGGAACAUGCCAUCCCAACCCCCAGGCAGGACAUUAUACAACUAUUAAUACACUUUCAAACCUCUAUAUUUCUUUUCGGGAAGCUAUAUUUCUUUAUGUCUCUCAAGCAUCUUCCUUUCCUCAAUUUUUUACUGUGUCCUCUUGUGUUCCUGGUGUUUAUUCCUCUUUAUUAUUGUGUUAGUUUUAACUUUGUGUUGCUCCUUUGGUAACAACAUGGCGCCGGUGGUGAAUGAAAGUGGCAUAAGUAUCCUAUUCUGUGGCUCUGGUCAGCACUAGUUCGAUUUUAUUAUUAUUAUUUUUUACAGUAAAGGAGACAGCUCAAGGGCAACAAAAAGAGUGCGAGAAAAAAAAAGCCCACUACUCACCGCUCCCAUAAUAGACAAAAGUAGAGAGGUCAAUUUUGGGUGGUGCCUCUGGACUGGGAAGCAUACAUUGAGGCCUAACUCAAUUAUAAUGGUGCUUUAGUGUUAUUAUUUUCCACAGCAUAGCAGGUACAAGAGAAGUCUCAUAGAACACUAUUUUGCGAGUGUGUAUUUGUGUGAAGAAAGUCUUUUUAGAAUGGUGUGCUUCAAAGAACGCAGGUGAUUUUUUUGUAUGUAUCAUGGGUAUUGGUAGGCCUGUUAGGAGUAUUUGUAUGAAGAAAGUCUUUUUAGAAUGGUGUGCUUCAAAA